rnacentral:lncRNA from 1 species
ACUUAUUUUCAACUCUUUUUCUUUCUUUUCUGUACUUUUUUUUUCUUUUUCUUUUUUCUUCUUUUAUUGCCGUGCCCUAUGGCACACAAAACAUACACUUUGAAACCUUUCCCCUACACUUGUUUUCUGCAAUAAUGUUACCAAAAAGGAAUUCCUUCUAAAUCAUGCUCCACUAUACUUCAAGAACAAGGGUAUGGAAAGUCCUAAUCUAGGCUAGGUAGGGAUAAUGUGGUUAACAAAGAAAAUAGGCUAGACAAAGCUCAAAGGGGUUAAAACCUACAAAACAAAUGACAAAGGUGGAUUCGGCUAUUUGGCUUUGGUUCACUAAACAACUUCAUCUUGAAUAUGUGAUAUGCAAAUCAAUGUCAUGCUUUGAAUGGAAUAGGCAUGAGUUCUAGUAUUUAGAUCUAUAAUGAUGAAACACAUUCUAAGUAGCAACCAAGCAAAGAAUAAUGAGAUCAUGCAACGACGUUAGAAAACAAGAAUGCAUAGAUUAAUAACUCUCCAAAUAAACAUUUAGGCUCAAGUCUCUCAGGGAUGUAGCGUUAGUUUGAGUUCCUUCCUUCAAGCAUGUUACAACAACUGAUUUUUUUUUCUUUUGUGAUUGCAUGUGAAUUCGUAAACUAUAACUACAACCAAGCAUAAACUGAAGAGCAUAUCAAACUUCCAUUUAUGUUUGUAACUUUCUUUAACAGUCAUGCACUUAAAAACCAAAUCCUCAUUAUUGUGUUGGAAGGUACCCUAAAACACAAAUAAACACACAAAAACAACUCAUUUUGGUUUUUUUCAAAACAAUUUUUCAAAUUUUUAUCAAAUUUUUGGAUUUUUAUGUCAAAACACACCACAAACACUUAAAAACAGUGCAAAACAACAUUGUAAGUGAUAGGUGAAUAAAACCCACGAAAAUCAUGCAAAACAGCUUGUUUACCCCCCCCCCCACAUUUAAAUCAAACAUUGUCCUCAAUGUUUCACACAUAUACUUACACUCAAACAAGCAAACAACACAACUAAUAAAACAUGACAAGUACGGCAAAGUAAAAAAACAAGAAAGAGUAGAGUUU